rnacentral:lncRNA from 1 species
CCAAUCCAACCUUGUUAUGUACACAUCUAGCUAUCCCAUUUGGUUUUCCUAACAAAGUUGGAUUCAUUUCUUUUUGCUUUACAAACUGAUGCGGAUCUAUACUUCUUCUUUUUUUGAUUCACAGGUCACAGAUUUUCUCCAUUACUUCUGUUCCCCCUUUGCAGUUCACGAGCAAGAGUCACCAAAAGGUUGGAGGUGCAGAUUAGUACUUUGAUUUAGUAUUUCACUUGGUCCCUUGUUUGAUUCAUAAAAAUAUUGUACGGAAGAAUCUAUCUCUCAAUUAGUCAGUGAUGCCCUUUUUAGAAGUAUAGAUGGGACAUGGAUGUGAAUAUUUACUGGAUGAAAUCUCUUGUGCUUGUAUACAUUUGUUUGCUAGUCUUCAGCUGUAGUUGUUGGUCAUCGCUCUUGCCAUUGUGGCUGCUACUUGUAGAUGUGCAAAACCAAGAUUGUUCAUGAUGCCACGAGACAUAUACAUGAGAACUGGCAAGCCACAAUGGCUGCUAGACACCUGACAUAUACAUGAAAACUGGCAAGCCACAAUGGUUGUUAACUUGCCGUUGUGGCUGUAUGUAGAGUACAAUAUGUAUAUGUCAUAUAGCACUUACGUCUGUGUACCUGUAUGCUUCAUGCUUCGUGUCAAAUUCUAUUCCUGUACCGAUGAACGAAACAAAGAAAAAUAACUCCCCACUGAAUUCCCACUAAUAAUUCCCACCACACUCCAAACAUGGGAUUGAGACUAAUAGUCUACUUCCCAAGUCUAAUCCCUUCACA